CACUAUCGUACAAAAUGUGAGGGGCAUGUGAGGGCUGUCGCCGACUCAAAGUCGUGCACGCCCGAGCGUGUCCUCUCACAUAAUAAUCCAUCUCACCCUUUGUGCAUCGCCGCGUGGGCACCCUUUGGGAUCAUCUCGGAGGGGGCUCGCGUUUUCACACAAACCCCCCUUUUAAAAGUGUAGAAUGACCUCAUUUAUGCGCUAACCCGCAAUCAAUACAACUUUCAACAACGGAUCUCUUGGCUCUCGCAUCGAUGAAGAACGCAGCGAAAUGCGAUACGUAAUGUGAAUUGCAGAAUUCAGUGAAUCAUCGAAUCUUUGAACGCACCUUGCGCCCCUUGGUAUUCCGAGGGGCACACCCGUUUGAGUGUCGUGAAAACCUCAACCUCUUUGGUUUCUUCUGGAGACCAAAGCAGGCUUGGACUUUGGAGGCCUUUGCUGGCACCUCUCUCUUUUGAAGGUCAGCUCCUCUUAAACGAAUUAGCAGGGUCCUCUUUGCCGAUCCUCGACGUGUGAUAAGAUGUUUCCAUGUCUUGGUUUCUGGCUCUGUCACUUUUGGGACCCGCUUCUAACCGUCUUGACCUUGCGUCGAGACAAGUGCUCGAGCAUGUCUCCCUUCUUGGGAAGCUCCCUCGACCCCACGAACCCUUG
rnacentral:rRNA from 1 species